rnacentral:miRNA from 1 species
CAGGGAGGGCAGGGGAGGG